rnacentral:rRNA from 1 species
AUGAACGCUAGCUACAGGCUUAACACAUGCAAGUCGAGGGGCAUCAGGAAGAAAGCUUGCUUUCUUUGCUGGCGACCGGCGCACGGGUGAGUAACACGUAUCCAACCUGCCCUUUACUCGGGGAUAGCCUUUCGAAAGAAAGAUUAAUACCCGAUGGCAUAAUGAUUCCGCAUGGUUUCAUUAUUAAAGGAUUCCGGUAAAGGAUGGGGAUGCGUUCCAUUAGGUUGUUGGUGAGGUAACGGCUCACCAAGCCUUCGAUGGAUAGGGGUUCUGAGAGGAAGGUCCCCCACAUUGGAACUGAGACACGGUCCAAACUCCUACGGGAGGCAGCAGUGAGGAAUAUUGGUCAAUGGGCGCUAGCCUGAACCAGCCAAGUAGCGUGAAGGAUGAAGGCUCUAUGGGUCGUAAACUUCUUUUAUAUAAGAAUAAAGUGCAGUAUGUAUACUGUUUUGUAUGUAUUAUAUGAAUAAGGAUCGGCUAACUCCGUGCCAGCAGCCGCGGUAAUACGGAGGAUCCGAGCGUUAUCCGGAUUUAUUGGGUUUAAAGGGAGCGUAGGUGGACUGGUAAGUCAGUUGUGAAAGUUUGCGGCUCAACCGUAAAAUUGCAGUUGAUACUGUCAGUCUUGAGUACAGUAGAGGUGGGCGGAAUUCGUGGUGUAGCGGUGAAAUGCUUAGAUAUCACGAAGAACUCCGAUUGCGAAGGCAGCUCACUGGACUGCAACUGACACUGAUGCUCGAAAGUGUGGGUAUCAAACAGGAUUAGAUACCCUGGUAGUCCACACAGUAAACGAUGAAUACUCGCUGUUUGCGAUAUACAGUAAGCGGCCAAGCGAAAGCAUUAAGUAUUCCACCUGGGGAGUACGCCGGCAACGGUGAAACUCAAAGGAAUUGACGGGGGCCCGCACAAGCGGAGGAACAUGUGGUUUAAUUCGAUGAUACGCGAGGAACCUUACCCGGGCUUAAAUUGCGGUGGAAUGAUGUGGGACAAUGUCAGUGAGCAAACGGCGCUAUGAAGGUGCUGCAUGGUUGUGGUCAGCUCGUGCAGAGUGGUAUCGGCUUAAGUGCCAUAACGAGCGCAACCCUUAUCUUUAGUUACUAACAGGUCAUGCUGAGGACUCUAGAGAGACUGCCGUCGUAAGAUGUGAGGAAGGUGGGGAUGACGUCAAAUCAGCACGGCCCUUACGUCCGGGGCUACACACGUGUUACAAUGGGGGGUACAGAAGGCAGCUAGCGGGUGACCGUAUGCUAAUCCCAAAAUCCUCUCUCAGUUCGGAUCGAAGUCUGCAACCCGACUUCGUGAAGCUGGAUUCGCUAGUAAUCGCGCAUCAGCCACGGCGCGGUGAAUACGUUCCCGGGCCUUGUACACACCGCCCGUCAAGCCAUGGGAGCCGGGGGUACCUGAAGUACGUAACCGCAAGGAUCGUCCUAGGGUAAAACUGGUGACUGGGGCU